AGCUCAGAUACUCAAGACGGUAAGCUCUCUAUAUCACGUGCGAAGCUAACAUGUCCCACGAGAGCCACGAGAGCGACUCUCAUACCGACGCGACCUCUAGACGAUCUUGCAUUCACAUUGGAUACUUACUGGCUAUGGGUUAUGCCCAGGUCUCCCGUUCCAGGUGUCACGUUCGUAGCUACUAUGCCUUUUUGUUCGAGAAAUAACUAGAGAAUGUCAACGUUUACAUUCGAUUUUACUCGCAUGUGGAUAAUGCACAAUGGAAUUCAGUGAACCUUGUCUCCGGUAAUACAUUGCUGUUAUACGUUUCCUUGAAAGUAAAAUUACGGUUCGAUGCACUGUACGCUGCACAUUAAAUCCUUGAGAUUCUUUUUUU